CGCCUGCCGGUGCAGAUGCCAAGCAUGGAGGAAAACCACCUGGAAGGGGAUGACAAUUAGCUCAUCCAUUAGCUCCUUCGGGCUGUGUAAGGAAGGAAGGGACUUGGAGGAAUUUUAUCUUUUUUUUUUUUGCCUUAAUAAAGUUGAGGCGUUCAAAUGGCUGGUUGACUUGUAUAGACACUAAAUAGAGGCUGAGAGGAGCAGCCUAGACAAACUCAUAUUUAACAGUAUUCGUACUAAACUAGUUUAGCACCCUUCCUGCCCCAGUUUCCUGCCCCCCAGCACCUACACCCAGAACACCCGAUGAAAGUGUCCAUCUUUAAGAUCCACAGGGGUGAAUGUAUGGUUUGUUUCUCCAGAGUCUGAAACAGUUCCUCACCCACCACUUGAUAAUCUGUCGAGAGAAAGCGUCGCUUAGGGACCGAGAAGGAGGAGGAGGCAGCUUUACUCAGUACAUUUUGCCUCUGGGAGGUCGACAGUAAGGCAAAUGCCUUGAUAGUUGGUCGAUGCAAAUGUCCCAAAGCAGGAUCCUGUUUUUGGUUAAUUAAGGCUUUCCUUACUAAUCAAGUCUGGUAUGGUGUCUUCAGGCUGGUAAUUAAUCCUAGCCCUUGAGGGCGCGAGGCAGGACUACUGCCUCUUCUAGGCCAACCUGGCCUACACAAGCAAACCUCGCAAAACAAACAAGGAAAAAAGAAUAAAAAAUUAAUUCUCAGUUUGUAGUCAAAGCGCAUAGAAAGCUCUGGCUUGAGUCCAGUAGUUCAAAACCAGCCUGUGAGACACUCCACCUCAGAAAGUUAAUUUCUGUCAAAGGAAGCAGUAUACUUUCUCUUUCCUUUUCUUUUCCUUUCCUUCCUUCCUCCCUUCCUUUUUCUGUGGUUGUUUGUUUGAGAUAGGUUCUCCUGUGUCUAGGCUGGCUUUGAACUCUCUAGUAGACCAGGCUUGGCCUUGAACUCUUGCUUCUCCUGUCUCAUACUCUCAAGAGCAUUCCUGGAAUGCACCACCACGCCUUGCUGGAAAAUGUUAUUUUGUGUUACACUCUGAAGAAAGCAAGAGUCACCUGAACUUCUAGUAUUUAAAAUAUCCGUUCAAAGACAAGAGGCUGCCUCUCCAAGCAACGACCAGACCUGUCCAGGUUCUCACUGAAACGCCACCCUUCAUUUUGAAGAAAGAAAAUGCCACACAGAAGGAAGUAACCAUCCUGAGGUGUAAACUCACUGCCCUGCUAGGACAAGUUCUACAGAAAAGACACCCUGCACGGCCAGCUUCUUGGAGUAGUAAAGAUUUCACAUUUAAAGAAGAACAGAGCGAAGCUCACACACCCAAACUGCUAGCACACAUCAGUGAGCCACCUGUCCCCGUCGGAAGAGACAAUGCAAGCCAAAGGCGUGCUGCCUGGAAAGAGCUUGACACAUGGUGUUUACAGUCCUGCCAUCUGCCCCAGGAGAAUUUAAUAUCUCUUCGAUUUUAUGGAUUUUUUUUUUCAGGAGUAGAACAGGGGUGACGUACGACAUGGAGACCUCAGUCAUCCAGCAGAGCUGAAAGAGCCAACUGUACAUGUAAGGUUACAAUGACCAAACUGUGUCAAAAAGCUCAUGAAAAUUGAUUAACACUUCUAGCUCCUGCUCUAGUUCGCAGCAGAGCUGCUCCCAAAGAGAAAUUCAAGCUCGAGCCCUUUAAAAUGCUGUAUGGAAGGUCCUUCCCCAGGGAACACAUUCUAAAGCACAUGCUGAUGUGGAAACGGAGCCAGCGAUAAAGCAUACUUAACUUAGGACAGAGGUGGCUUCCAGGAUCAAGGCCUUGCUGCCAAGCCUACUGGCCCAAAUUCAGUCCCAAGACCCACAUUCCAGAAGGGGAAAGGAAAUUCCCAAAAGCUGUCCUCUGACUUCCACACAUGUACCUUGGCACACUUGUCCACACAUAUACAAAUAAAUAUGUGUAACUUCAGAAAACAUAUUACACUCAAUUCAUUACGAAUGUACAAGGCCCUCCGCUCCACUGCUAAGUACUUUCAGAAAAAUGACGUCUAUCCUGAACCCCUCAAGAAUGAGGAGCGAGUCUCAAAUGAAGGUUUGUUAGCAGCCUCAUGAGACAGGCACCUCUAAGGGCAGUCUUACAGAAUUACACCUUCAAAGUGCCCUUUCCUUUUUUCUAUCUAGAAUGUUAUGGUUUGAGUUGUGCAUGCCUGUGGGGGCACCGUUCACCAUCUUUACAAUAUGAGCUAAGCAUGCCCAAAUGUGCUCCUGUGCGCCAGAAUAAUUUUUCAAAUAUCUGUGCUAGACCUUAAACUAAGAAUGUCCAAAAAUGCGUGUCCACGAUCUUCCCUGGUUGAACUAUGACCUUUGGGAGCAUGCUCAGGAUGAGCCUCUCAUGAAGUCCUUUCUCGAACAUGUGCGCCCCUUGGGUAAACCUCCACACUUGCUUUGCUCAGGAGCCUGUUGCUCUGGGGAGAAUUCCUGUGCUUGCCUUAUAACUGCAGGCAGUGAUUCUUUUUCUGCUCUCACCUUUUUGUUCCUGCUUGCUUGGCUUUAACCCAUUGCAUUCAGCUGUAGAACUUUCUCAACCAACAGCAAAAGGGAUAUCUCUCUCGCCUGAGAACAGGUGAUGAGUUCUCAGACCACUGUUGUUGGAAACAUGGAUUUCAGUCUGUCUCAGGAGUAGGGAGCUGAGGUUUAUGGGAAGAGUUCCAGUUUCUGGGCCAUGGGUGACGGUCUACUCCCUCUGACCUUUUCCCUGCUGUGAUUAUGAUGUGAAGUGGAUGUGGACUUAGCCUCAUGGACUUGGUUGUCACUGAAGACUUCAUCUAAGGCCAAUUGAUCCAGAUAAAGAAUAUGUCAAGAGCCAGAAAGAUGGCCCAGGGGAUAAAAGCACCUGCUGCCAGUCCUGACUACUAGAUUGGAUCUCUGCCACUUGGUAGAUGGAGAGAACUGACUUCCACAAGUUUUCCUCUGACCUCUACACACACACACACCCAAAUGUUUUAAAAAAGAGUAUGACAGAUAGACUGUUGUAGGGUAUCCACCAGAGAAGGCUACUUGGACAAGGGUUUAAGCCAAUAGAAAGUCUUUAUUAGCCUCCCAGCAACAACACUGAAUGUUCAGGAUCCUAUUGUAGCCCAAGCCUUUCUCAGGGUGAGCUUUUAAGCACAAAAUACAUGUCCUGCGUUGACAUACUUCAGUUAACAAGAAUAAUUAGCGAGAGGUGGAAUUACAGAAGUAAAAAAAGGAAGGCUAGUACAUUUAGAGACGUUCCCAGAAGAAUGGGCGUUGAUGGAUUAGGACUUUGUUUUUGUUUUGGCUGGUGGUGCUGUCUGUGUGCUGUGUUUUACAGCCUGAAUGGUACUUCCAUCAUGGAGUCAGUUUUGCUAAGGUCUGGGGGCUGUUACACAGAAUGCACACAUCAGGUGUGUCAUCCCAGUUGCUGUAGUAGAGGCAGAGCAGGUGUCUGCUGAGAUGCACUAUUCCUUCCCGUUGGCACCUGUACCCCAGGGAACUCAUUCAUUCACAGACUCCAUUGCUGAUGGCCACACUGUAAGGCAUACAUACAUAUCUGGUCUUUCAUCUAAGUUCUCAGCCUAGAGCUUCAGGCUGAUGAGUUCAUUUCUAUGCCAAUGAGACGGCUGGAAACUGAGGCUCCAAGCUGGGAGCUGGGGGCUGGAAAGUCUAAGAUAUGAUUAGGGGGUUGGUACCCUCAGCCAAAGUCCCAGGACCAGUGGGGAGAGCAGAAUUGAUCACCCAUGAUGAAUGAUUUAAUCAGCUAUGGUAGUGCAAGAACGCCUCCAUUUAAAUGCCUUAGGAUGGGGUUGGGGAUUUAGCUCAGUGGUAGAGCACUUGCCUAGCAAGUGCAAGGCCCUGUAUUCAGUCCUCAGCUCCGGGGGGGGAAAAAAUGCCUUAGGAUGAAAUUCCAUUUGAUUCCCAGUUGGUAAGCCCAGAGAAGCUCCUUGCAUCCCCACACACUUAACUAUCCUUAUACAUCUCCCAGU